GUCAAAACAAUCCUUUUUCUCUCUGGUAAACUGCCGGGCUGAGAGGAGCAGCAAGCAUCUAUGGAAGUCUUCCCCGAUCUCUGAGGUGAGAAGAUACAACUUUAAUCUGGAUCUUUUGAGGGAGGAAGAUAAACCUUUAAUCUGUGGCACACCUGCUGGCAGCCUAUUUAAAGGACAUGGAAGAAGGAAGCUUGCUGUCUUUGCCUGCUUGUUCUUGCUUCCACUAGCAAGUCCAGUGCUUCACUGACAUUAGAUUCCAGUGUACGCUGAAGACCAGCUGAGACAUGCAGCCUUGUGAACUGAGCAACUACUGGACUGUUAGACUAGCUGGACCACAGUCUGCAAGCUAUUCUAGUAAAACACUCUCUCUCUCUCUCUCUCUCUCUCUCUCUCUCUCACACACACACACACACACACACACACACACACACACACACACUGUACCUUGCUAAUCUACAGAACCCUAAUACAGCAGAGAAACCCAGGCAUUUCACCAACGAAGAGGAAGUGUUCCAGACUACCACUCCAGCCUCCCCUUCCCAUCACACCCUUCUUGUUCUUGUCAGCCUCCACUAUCACACAUUAAACACCAACAAAAAAGCUAAUCAUCUCUCAAUGCUCACGAGGCUGGCUGUGUCUCUACUGAAAUUAGCCUUCUCGUUGGUCGGUUGACAAUGUUGCUCCUGCCAAGAGUGUCAUCUAAGACAAGCACUUUGAUCUGAGCAGGCACAUAUCAAUCUUAUUUUGAAAAAUGA
rnacentral:lncRNA from 1 species